rnacentral:rRNA from 1 species
UACAGAGGUCUCAAGCGUUGUUCGGAUUCAUUGGGCGUAAAGGGUGCGUAGGCGGCGCGGUAAGUCGGGUGUGAAAUCUUGGAGCUUAACUCCGAAACUGCAUUCGAUACUGCCGUGCUUGAGGACUGGAGAGGAGACUGGAAUUUACGGUGUAGCUGGUGAAAUGCGUAGAUAUCGUAAGGAAGACCAGUGGCGAAGGCGGGUCUCUGGACAGUUCCUGACGCUGAGCACGAAGGCCAGGGGAGCAAACGGG